CCUAGUUCUCGAGGACAAGGUGCCUUGAUACUUCUAUUUAACAUGCAAAUCAAACGAGAUGCAUGAGUCUUAACGUUCGGUGUAACAGAAGACCUUUGGACACACAGUGCUAUUGCUCUUCCUUGCAUAGUCCAACCGGCCACAAAGAGAGAGAGAAAAGAUGGCGGCCAGAUAUGUCUGUGUGCUGGUCAUCUCUGCAGGGGUGAUCAGUUUGAAUGGAAUACUGGCAUCUUGGAUAAUGGGGUUUCAACACUCUGAGAUUAGACAGAAGUCUUCCAUAAAGUCAUUCACAAUCAACUCAGAUGCAGCUCAAACAGAGAUGACAACAUUAGUGAGUACAUUAGAUGUGACAAAAGGUGUGUCGAACUCGCCAAAGACACAAAUAAUCACAAACAUUCCUGAAACUGCAUCAGUGAAUAUGAUGUCUGGAUCAUCUGUGGUAUCAAAAGCAUCAUCCGUUGCUAUUGCUGAACCCUCUCGGCAAACAACAGCUGAGAUGGCAGCAGUGAGUGCAGCUGGGGCAGUCAGAUCUACAGCUGCGGGAACAAUCGUCUUGUCUGAGACUAUAGAGAAAGUUACGAUUUUACUUGGAACGAAAAAGGCAGAAAGACAGGAAACAGCAGAAACAACUCCAGGUGAAACAGUCACCACAUAUAAACAAACAAAAGAACAUGCCAGUGUGGAAACACUGACAAAUACAGCUCAAAAACCACCUGAACCUGAGAGCAUAAGUGAUAGUGAUAUCAUACAAACAUAUGAAAGAGAAACAGGUGUGACAAUAUUUGAGAAACCAUCAGAAAAAAACACCAUACCAAAACUAGGAUCAGAGACAACCAGAUUUGCUCCAACUAUAACAGCUACAGCUAAUAUCAGGAGUGCAACUCCGAUACCUGAACCAGUGACAGACAGAGGAACACAUUUCACUAACAACAAACUGAAAACGUCAAAAAUCACCCCUGAAAAUAAAGCAACAACAAAAACUAGACCAGACAUUACAUUUAGGAAAGCAGCGGUUAUGACUGAAACAAAAGUAGAUUUAACUGAAGGACAACCAGGACCAAGCACCAUCAUAAAAAGACAAAAAACAGCAGGAACGGAGCCAUCUAAAGUUGAAACAAGUGAAAAAAACACAGUUAGACCACAAAAAUCUUUUCAAGCUAUACAAACGUCAAAUGGUCCAACAAUAAAUGAGGCUAGUGGCAUAAAUCUUAUAACUAUGAUUCAAACUGCCACUAGAAAACAAGACAAAAGAGUGGGGAAACAAUUAAGUACAGCUGGUACGGGCGUAGAAACAAUAAAAUCAAAUGUAUUAACAACAAUAAAAUCCACCGUGAAUGAUUUAAACGCUAUUUCACCAAAGAGACGGACUGCUAAAGUGAUCGACAAGUUGACAACUCAGUCACACAAGUCUGUAUCACCUUGUACAGGCAAAUGUCAAACCAAAUCUACUACUAAGAACAAUAGAGACAGACGAGGCCAGGCAAUGAAGCCCCUGUCCUAUGAUAAAACCUUUUACUCUGCUAUCACUAUGGGUAGCAUCCUGGUUAUAUGUGGCCUUCUAGCACUUGUUGUGUUUAUAAAGGAUUUUACUGGGCACAAAUAA
ensembl:lncRNA